CCCCUCCCCGCCCGGCCCGCGGGCUUCGCCGCCUGUGUCUUCCCUGGGCCCCAGCCGUCCCGUGCGCGGUCUGGCCGCUGGAAGCCCGGAGGCUCUCGGAAGUUUUGAUUUGGAACCAGGAAAGGGUUUGAACUCUCUCAGAGUUGUGGGGAGAGGCCACGGUUUCCGGACGUGAAGAACGUCGAAGAAAUUGUUGUUGGCGGUUAUUAGGUUGUGGUUUUCACAUGCGGCCAGCCCAGGAGCUGAGAUUUUAAGAGAUUAUCCCGCCUCCCUUACCCUGCCAGAAACGUAGAAAUAAGGGAACUGACAAGUGAAACAACUUGAGGAAUGGAGAUGUGAACAGCUAACGGGACACCUGCCUCUCCGGGAUCUUAUCUUGGGUAUAGUAGUUCCUUUGUGGAUGUUUGUGCAGUGGAUGACGGAGUGAAUGAAUGCGCAGAUGAGCAAGGAGCAAACACACGUAGGAUUAGGUGGCAAAUCUCCCCGAAGACCCUUAGUGUGCCUUCCUCCAUGAGACUGGAGGCUCUCUGCAGAGGCCUUUGCUGACAACACCUCCUCCAUAUGGAAGGCCAUUUGACGUGCUUCAGAGUGGCAAUAUCCAACCCGUUCUCUAAAGCCCAACUUCUGUGCCAUCUCCCGAACGACGUCCCUCUAAACUCAUUCGCCUCCAGAUUCCCAGACUCACUUUGUGAACCUCCUCUGAAGGAUUUAGCACGUUAUUUCCUGCAUGUACAGUAGCUCGCAUAUGCAACUUGCUUACGUGGUUGAGGGCAGGGACUGUACUGCAGUGGUGUUCGUAUCUCUCCAGCUCCUAACAGAGGAACUUACACAUGAGAAACUCUCAAGGCACCAGCUGUGAGGGCCAGCUGGGGAGAGCCUAGCCUGUCUGUGCUGAGUUCCCAUUUAGGCCCAAAGACUAGAUCCAACGUGGAAGAACAUGGUUUUUUGGCUUCCAAACCAGGUAACUCUGGGCAUCAGACCACAAUCUUCUUAUCAGACCACAACAUUAGUAUUUGCCACCUUGGACAUCACAGGUACAGAGUCAGAGAGGACCAGCACCGCAAAUCCGUUGAAAAGGCCUGGACUGUUGUUACUGAGUUGGUAUUGCAAACUUGGUAACACAGAGGAGUGGAUGUUUCCUGACAACCUAGUUUGAUUACAUGGUGAAAGGACAGCAGAGAAGACCAAGUCCAGGUUACUGUGGUUAACUGUAUUAGUUUAUUUUCUGAUAUUAAGCCAGCCUGCAUUUCUGGAAUACCCGAGGGGCCCAUUAGGGAGACCACAAGCAGAGCAUGGCAAUCUUGCCAAGUUGAGGAAACAGACAUAGGCAUGUGGAGAGUCUGAAGCAGCUGGAAUUUGCAGAACAGAGUCCCAGAGAAGAGAAUCCUAUGCAGAGAAAGAGUUCUAAAAAUCUGGAGACUAUUCCUGAAUACUAAUGCUACACAUGCACAGAGUGAAACUCCAUGAAGCAGGUCAAGGGACGACUGCAGAGCUGUAAACUGAACCAUGCCUGGGAAAUACUCCAGGUCCGACCAGACGAAGUGGAGAGUCCUCACUGAACACAUGGGCAUUUACAGAGACCCCAGAAGGGUCAGCCUCACUAGUUGAACUGAAUUGUUUCCACAGUAAAGACUAUUCAAGACAUGUCCAAACAAAGCCUAAAAAUACUCUGUGAGAGAACUAACCUCAUCUGUAAAUAACAUAGCUUCCUAUCAGAAUAAAGCCUGAUACUCUGGAAAAUAAGGCAACAAAUCCCGUGACUCAACAAUGUACAAUUCAUAAUGUUCAUCAUCCGAUAAAAAGUUAUUUGACAUGAGAA